GACAGAGGGUGCAAACGUUGUUCGGAAUUACUGGGCGUAAAGCGCGUGUAGGCGGUCGUGCAAGUCGGGUGUGAAAGCCCUCGGCUCAACCGGGGAAGUGCACUCGAAACUGCAUGACUAGACUCUCGGAGAGGAUAGUGGAAUUCUCGGUGUAGAGGUGAAAUUCGUAGAUAUCGAGAGGAACACCGGUGGCGAAGGCGGCUAUCUGGACGAUGACUGACGCUGAGACGCGAAAGCGUGGGGAGCAAACAGG
rnacentral:rRNA from 1 species